GAUGAACGCUGGCGGCGUGCCUAAUACAUGCAAGUCGAGCGAACAGACGAGGAGCUUGCUCCUCUGACGUUAGCGGCGGACGGGUGAGUAACACGUGGAUAACCUACCUAUAAGACUGGGAUAACUUCGGGAAACCGGAGCUAAUACCGGAUAAUAUAUUGAACCGCAUGGUUCAAUAGUGAAAGACGGUUUUGCUGUCACUUAUAGAUGGAUCCGCGCCGCAUUAGCUAGUUGGUAAGGUAACGGCUUACCAAGGCAACGAUGCGUAGACGACCUGAGAGGGUGAUCGGCCACAUGGGAACUGAGACACGGUCCAGACUCCUACGGGAGGCAGCAGUAGGGAAUCUUCCGCAAUGGGCGAAAGCCUGACGGAGCAACGCCGCGUGAGUGAUGAAGGUCUUCGGAUCGUAAAACUCUGUUAUUAGGGAAGAACAAAUGUGUAAGUAACUAUGCACGUCUUGACGGUACCUAAUCAGAAAGCCACGGCUAACUACGUG
rnacentral:rRNA from 1 species